rnacentral:rRNA from 1 species
GACAGAGGGGGCAAGCGUUGCUCGGAAUUACUGGGCGUAAAGGGCGCGUAGGCGGGAUGGCAAGUCGGUCGUGAAAUCCCUCGGCUCAACCGAGGAACGUCGAUCGAUACUGCUGUUCUUGAGGAUUGCAGAGGAGACUGGAAUUCCCGGUGUAGCGGUGAAAUGUGUAGAGAUCGGGAGGAACACCGGUGGCGAAGGCGGGUCACUGGCUCGUAUCUGACGCUCAGGCGCGACAGCGUGGGGAUCAAACAGG